rnacentral:rRNA from 1 species
GAGGGAGAAAGCCCGCAAGGGUUAGUAAACCGGCGAACGGGUGCGUAACACGUGGACAACCUACCUUCUCGACCGGGAUAACUCGCCGAAAGGCGAACUAAUACCGGAUAAGCCCCCGGACUCUACGGAGUCAGAGGGAAAAUGGCGGCCACUGUAAACAAGCUGUCACGAGAAGAUGGGUCCGCGGCCCAUCAGCUAGUUGGCGGGGUAACGGCCCACCAAGGCAACGACGGGUAGCUGGUCUGAGAGGAUGAUCAGCCACACUGGAACUGAGACACGGUCCAGACUCCUACGGGAGGCAGCAGUGGGGAAUCUUGCGCAAUGGGCGAAAGCCUGACGCAGCAACGCCGCGUGUGUGAUGAAGGUCUUCGGAUCGUAAAGCACUGUACGCGAGGGACGAUACGCCGCCGGCUAACAUCCGGCGGCUGAGACGGUACCUCGAGAGGAAGCACCGGCUAACUCUGUG